AACGCUAGCUACAGGCUUAACACAUGCAAGUCGAGGGGAAACGAUAUUGGAAGCUUGCUUCCGAUAGGCGUCGACCGGCGCACGGGUGAGUAACGCGUAUCCAACCUGCCCACCACUUGGGGAUAACCUUGCGAAAGUAAGGCUAAUACCCAAUGACGUCUCUAGAAGACAUCUGAAAGAGAUUAAAGAUUUAUCGGUUAUGGAUGGGGAUGCGUCUGAUUAGCUUGUUGGCGGGGUAACGGCCCACCAAGGCAACGAUCAGUAGGGGUUCUGAGAGGAAGGUCCCCCACAUUGGAACUGAGACACGGUCCAAACUCCUACGGGAGGCAGCAGUGAGGAAUAUUGGUCAAUGGGCGAGAGCCUGAACCAGCCAAGUAGCGUGCAGGAUGACGGCCCUAUGGGUUGUAAACUGCUUUUAUACAGGAAUAAAGUUAGCCACGUGUGGCUAUUUGUAGGUACUGUAUGAAUAAGGACCGGCUAAUUCCGUGCCAGCAGCCGCGGUAAUACGGAAGGUCCGGGCGUUAUCCGGAUUUAUUGGGUUUAAAGGGAGCGUAGGCCGGAGAUUAAGCGUGUUGUGAAAUGUAGACGCUCAACGUCUGCACUGCAGCGCGAACUGGUUUCCUUGAGUACGCACAAAGUGGGCGGAAUUCGUGGUGUAGCGGUGAAAUGCUUAGAUAUCACGAAGAACUCCGAUUG
rnacentral:rRNA from 1 species